CGCAACAAGCAUGACUUCUUCAGACUACAAAUGGGCGUAUGUGAUUUUGAAGAAAGGGGGAGGUUUGACUAAUUCUUCAAAAUAGUUUCAGUUGCACAUGAUUUAGUCGUGGCUUUUCUUAGCAGUAGUGGACUUAUGUUUUACUUGUUUUUUGUUCUCUUGUUAGUUUUACAGCAUUAUCAAUUAGUAGUGGACCAUGUUUCCCACUUCUCCUCAUGUUCUCCAUUAUCUAUUAGUUGCUAUUUUUUAGGCUUAGCAGUUAAAUUGUAAGCCUAUAAAAGGCAGUAGGUGUUUGUUUUCAAGCAGAGAGAAUUUAGCAGUA
rnacentral:lncRNA from 1 species